GGGGGUAUAGCUCACCGGUAGAGCAUUUGCCUAGCAUGCCAAUGGCCUGAGUUCAAUCCCCAGUAUUGCAU
rnacentral:tRNA from 1 species